GCAGAACCUCAGCAGAUCACAGGAUAUUCAGGGACAAAGGUUACAAGAUAAACAAGUGACCACAUCAGCGAACAGGCACCGUGUGUUUGAAUCUGACCGACCUGAUGGAAUUAACUGCCUGGCCAACUGAUUUACAGACCUGAUGGAAUCAUCGCCCAGUUGGGUGACUUGUGGACUUGAUAUGAUCAACUGCACACGAACAGUUAGUUUGUAGACUGACAUAACUUUGAUGUCAGAAAGUGUAAGAAUGGUAUUGUGCGGGUGUUUGACAGAGAGAGCUGGAUUGUCCUGUGUGAUGGUCUGGAGUUCCUCUCCUGGCUGUAAUCGAUUCCCGCUGGAAUAAACUGCUGUUCCUGCUGAA